UUGGAGGGCAAGUCUGGUGCCAGCAGCCGCGGUAAUUCCAGCUCCAAUAGCGUAUAUUAAAGUUGUUGCAGUUAAAAAGCUCGUAGUUGAAUUUCGGGGUUAGUAGGUUGGUCAUGCCUCUGGUAUGUACUGGUCUCACUGAUUCCUCCUUCCUGAUGAACCGUAAUGCCAUUAAUUUGGUGUUGCGGGGAAUUUGGACUGUUACUUUGGAAAAAUUAGAGUGUUUAAAGCAAGCUAACGCUUGAAUACAUUAGCAUGGAAUAAUGAAAUAGGACGUUCGAUCCUAUUUUGUUGGUUUCUAGGAUUGACGUAAUGAUUAAUAGGGAUAGUUGGGGGCAUUAGUAUUCAAUUGUCAGAGGUGAAAUUCUUGGAUUUAUUGAAGACUAACUACUGCGAAAGCAUUUGCCAAGGAUGUUUUCACUAAUCAAGAACGAAAGUUAGGGGAUCGAAGACGAUCAGAUACCGUCGUAGUCUUAACCAUAAACUAUGCCGACUAGGGAUCGGAUGAUGUUAAUUUUUUAAUGACUCAUUCGGCGCCUUACGGGAAACCAAAGUGUUUGGGU
rnacentral:rRNA from 1 species